rnacentral:tRNA from 1 species
CCGACGCCGGGUGGCGGAGCUGAUGCGCCUGCUGGGUGCGGAAUCCCGGUUCCAGGCCGGGGUGCUGGC